rnacentral:rRNA from 1 species
UUGACGGGACCCGCACAAGCGGUGGAUGAUGUGGUUUAAUUCGAUGCAACGCGAAAACCUUACCCACCUUUGACAUGUACGGAACCCUCCAGAGAUGGAGGGGUGCUCGAAAGAGAGCCGUAACACAGGUGCUGCAUGGCUGUCGUCAGCUCGUGUCGUGAGAUGUUGGGUUAAGUCCCGCAACGAGCGCAACCCUUGUCAUUAGUUGCUACAUUUAGUUGGGCACUCUAAUGAGACUGCCGAUGACAAACCGGAGGAAGGUGGGGAUGACGUCAAGUCCUCAUGGCCCUUAUAGGUGGGGCUACACACGUCAUACAAUGGCCGGUACAAAGGGCUGCCAACCCGCGAGGGGGAGCCAAUCCCAUAAAACCGGUCGUAGUCCGGAUCGCAGUCUGCAACUCGACUGCGUGAAGUCGGAAUCGCUAGUAAUCGUGGAUCAGCACGCCGCGGUGAAUACGUUCCCGGGCCUU